UAGAGAAGGUGCAGAGGAGAUUUACCAGUAUGCUGCCUGGAUUGUGGAACAUGUCUUAUGAGGAGAAGGACUUGCAUGGUUGACAGUAGUGAAAACUGCGAGGAAGCUACUGACAUGAUGAAGGAAACCUGGAACACUGCUAGAGACGGAGGACCUUCAUCGCUGCCCUAAAUGCCAGCGGCGUAUUGGACAGUAAAGCAUUCCGACUGGUUGCACCCCGGCAUAAUACGGAUGCUCCAAUGCACAGGGUGGCAAGAGGCUGCAGAGGGUUGUACACUAUGCGCGCUCCAUUACCAGCACAGCCCCCCUGCCCCCCACCAUCGAGGACACCUUUAGGAGACGGUGCCUCAAGAAGGUGAUAUCCAUCACUAAGGACCCUCGCCAUCAGGGAUAUGCCCUCUGCUCAUUACCACCAUCAAGGAGGAGGUAUAGAAGCCUGAGGACACACGUUCAAUGAUUCAGGAACUGCUUCUCUCCCUCUAUCAUCAGGUAUUAGAUGGUCUGUCAGCCUGUGAAAACUAUUUCAUUAAACAAAUAUUUUGUCAUAGUCAUACUUUAUUGAUCCCGGGGGAAAUUGGUUAAACUUGUAAUACUUAUUUUGUAAUUUUAUGCCUUUGCCAUGUACUAUUUGCUACAAAACAAGAAAUUUCACAAAUCUAUUUAACAUUGUCCAAAAAUAUCCAAGGACUCUGCUUCCA